rnacentral:misc_RNA from 1 species
GAUGAAGAACGCAGCGAAAUGCGAUAAGUAAUGUGAAUUGCAGAAUUCAGUGAAUCAUCGAAUCUUUGAACGCACCUUGCACCCUUUGGCAUUCCGAAGGGUAUGCUCGUUUGAGUGUCAUUGUACUCUCACACUCUCCGAUCCUAUGGAUUCGGGGAGCGGUGGACUUGGGUGUUGCUGCCUUUCCUUGUGGCUCACCUCAAAUGUGUCAGUGCACCUCUUGGUUGGACAUAGUACGGCGUGAUAAGUGUCUUCGCCAGCACCUCGCAAGAGGGUGGCCGAUCGGGAGCUCUGUGCUUUCAAACCGUCUUCGGACAAUUUCUGACAACUUGACCUCAAAUCGAGUAGGACUACCCGCUGAACUUAAGCAUAUCAAUAAGCGGAGGA